rnacentral:rRNA from 1 species
CGCUGGCGGCGUGCCAACACAUGCAAGUCGAACGAGAAAGUGGAGCAAUCCAUGAGUACAGUGGCGUACGGGUGAGUAACACGUGACUAACCUACCCUCGAGUGGGGAAUAACUUCGGGAAACCGAGGCUAAUACCGCAUAACAUCGACGGAUCAAAUGCGCAAGCAGCUUGAGGAGGGGGUCGCGGCUGAUUAGCUAGUUGGCGGGGUGACGGCCCACCAAGGCAAUGAUCAGUAGCCGGCCUGAGAGGGCGCACGGCCACACUGGAACUGAAACACGGUCCAGACUCCUACGGGAGGCAGCAGUGGGGAAUUUUGCGCAAUGGGGGAAACCCUGACGCAGCAACGCCGCGUGGAGGAUGAAGCCCCUUGGGGUGUAAACUCCUUUCGAUCGGGACGAUUAUGACGGUACCGGAUGAAGAAGCACCGGCUAACUCUGUGCCAGCAGCCGCGGUAAUACAGAGGGUGCAAGCGUNGUUCGGAAUUAUUGGGCGUAAAGGGUGCGUAGGCGGUGCGGUAAGUCUUCUGUGAAACCUCCGGGCUUAACUCGGAGCCUGCAGGGGAAACUGCCGUGCUGGAGUAUGGGAGAGGUGAGUGGAAUUCCCGGUGUA